rnacentral:rRNA from 1 species
GAUGAACGUUAGCGGCAGGCCUAACACAUGCAAGUCGAACGGUAACAGGAAGAGCUUGCUUUUCGCUGACGAGUGGCGCACGGGUGCGUAACGCGUAUGCAACCUACCUCUAACAGAGAGAUAGCCCCGAGAAAUCGGGAUUAAUACCUCAUGGUAUUUAUAUAUCGCAUGAUUUAUAAAUUAAAGUUUUGGCGGUUAGAGAUGGGCAUGCGUUCCAUUGGCUAGUUGGUAAGGUAACGGCUUACCAAGGCGACGAUGGAUAGGGGUCCUGAGAGGGAAACCCCCCACACUGGUACUGAGACACGGACCAG